AAAGAUAAAGAUGCCACAGAUGCUGCUUAAUAACGGCGCAGUAGGAUCGAGCAGAGAGAAAAGAUGAACAAUAUUAUGGAAAUGAAACGAUGAUACUUUAUACUUCAAAAGAAUGGAAUACAAAGCUGACAUUUCACUGCUGGACUUGAGGAAUUAGUCAUCGUUACUUAAUAGCAAUUGGAAUAGCCUAGCAAAGGAUGUAUCACAUGAAAAAACAUCCCAAUCUUGGCUGAAUUUUAACUGUAUCAUUUAAAGUUGCACGACGACAGAUAGAAAAGCUUAUUUCAGAUAAAAAUCUCUUUCUUCUGCACAUGUAUGAAAGAAGUGUGAGGACACAGUCUAUCCUUCAUUGAUCAGGGAAAUGAAGGAGCCAAUAGCCCAGAAAGACAUGCAGAGUUGAAAGCGUAGGUAAGUGACAUCCUGAAAUACACACUAAGAAUAUGGGAGUACAGAAGAUCUGGGUGCUGCUGGCUUUACACACCACAUCCCAGCACACGCGGGCAGCACCACCUCAGGCAGCAAGCACAGGUGGACGCAGCAGGCUGAGCCCAGCCAGCACUGCCUUUAUGGGAUGGCCACAGGGAGGACGUGAAGGAGAAGACUGUAAAGUCUCAGAAGGCAUUGGCAAGAGCCUGGGUAAACAACGUGGAUCUAAGGCAAACGAAACCCACAGUUCAUUUUCAGGUCAGCCAUGAAGACAGUUGCAGAUGGAGAGGGCAGAGAGAAGCUGCCCACUGUUUCCCAGAAGUGACGUUCCUUGACUGGAGCCAAUGACCUGGAUCUGUCCCCUCUCCUGGAGCCAGUCCCAGCAGCAGAGAUGUGCCAGGAGCAUCCCUGCCAGCAUGACCAGUCUGCUUGUCCUGUGCACAAUGAGGAAAGAGCUCUCUUCUAGCACGUGUGGUCCUGAGCUACUGAGCCACAAGGACAGACCAACAUCUGAAUCAACAGAGGCAAAGCCAUACAGAAGAAAAGCUAAUGUGCUCCUACCUUUUCUCAGCUGUAUUAUUUACUUGACUCCAAUGAUUCCAUCAUAUUGAAAAAUCAAUGGCGUUUUAGAAGUGUAAAACCAAGGAAAAGCUGUAUGGAUUCUGACUAUUUUGAACUACUUCUCUGAACGGGUGGUCAGGCACUGGAAUGGGCUGCCCAGAGAGGUGGUGGAGUCACCGAGCCUGGUGGUGUUCAAAGAGCGUUUGGAUGUUGUGUUGAGGGACAUGGUUUAGUGAGAACCAUUGGUGAAGGGCGAGUGGUUGGACUGGAUGAUCCUGUGGGGCUUUUCCAACCUCAGCGAUUCUGUGAUUCUAUGAAGCUUUACAGAUGCUUGCUGACCUAACAUGGGAGGAGUAUCAUUAUUUUAUUGACGAAACUCUUUUUUUUGUUGUUGUUUUAAUAUGGAAAAUCUCAGUGGCACUUCACUCCAUUUGUCUUUUUUUUUUUUCCUUUUUAGUCAUAUGAUAAUGUACACUUAUAACCAGUGAAUCAUCCCCCCAAAAAGUCAUAAAGAGAAAAAUAGCUCAUAUGUAUGCCUCAGCGGCCAAUGAAUCAUUGACGACAGGUAUAAUGGGAAUAAUUACAUACUGUUGAGAAACUUUACUCAAAGCCCAGCUCAGAAGGCUAGUUUCAAAACUUCUGAGUUAUGCAGUUGGAUCCAAGGUUGAGAGUGCCAGGUUAGGAAACAGCCAGGAGAAUUUCAGAUUUGUGUUACUGCAAGGAAAUAUCCUCUCCAAGAGUCUGUUAUGUGUUGACAAAUUGUUUAUACUUAAUGAAGCAAUAAUAAUGAAUAGUCUAAA
ensembl:lncRNA